AAUCAGGAGCAAAGUGCCCAGAGGGCAUCGUCCAUCUCAUUUUGAGUUACGAGUACUACUCUCAAAAUUUCCGGAUCCAAGAAAUAAGGGCAAACCUUUCUCCAGUCCCAUGGGUCAUAUAAUUUUUGCCAAACAUUUAGCAAUGAUAGACGGGAUGCUUCUGGUGGUGGUUUU
ensembl:ncRNA C30C11.11 ncRNA